rnacentral:rRNA from 1 species
GAUGAACGCUGGCGGCGUGCCUAAUACAUGCAAGUCGAGCGAACGGACGAGAAGCUUGCUUCUCUGAUGUUAGCGGCGGACGGGUGAGUAACACGUGGAUAACCUACCUAUAAGACUGGGAUAACUUCGGGAAACCGGAGCUAAUACCGGAUAAUAUUUUGAACCGCAUGGUUCAAAAGUGAAAGACGGUCUUGCUGUCACUUAUAGAUGGAUCCGCGCUGCAUUAGCUAGUUGGUAAGGUAACGGCUUACCAAGGCAACGAUGCAUAGCCGACCUGAGAGGGUGAUCGGCCACACUGGAACUGAGACACGGUCCAGACUCCUACGGGAGGCAGCAGUAGGAAAUCGUCCGCAAUGGGCGAAAGCCUGACGGAGCAACGCCGCGUGAGUGAUGAAGGUCUUCGGAUCGUAAAACUCUGUUAUUAGGGAAGAACAUAUGUGUAAGUAACUGUGCACAUCUUGACGGUACCUAAUCGGAAAGCCACGGCUAACUACGUG